rnacentral:rRNA from 1 species
UACGUAGGGUGCGAGCGUUGUCCGGAAUUAUUGGGCGUAAAGGGCGCGUAGGCGGCCAGCGCAAGUCAGUUGUGAAAUCUCCGGGCUUAACUCGGAAAGGUCAACUGAUACUGCGCGGCUAGAGUGCAGAAGGGGCAACUGGAAUUCUCGGUGUAGCGGUGAAAUGCGUAGAUAUCGAGAGGAACACCUGCGGCGAAGGCGGGUUGCUGGGCUGACACUGACGCUGAUGCGCGAAAGCCAGGGGAGCGAACGGG